CUACGGGACGCAGCAGUGGGGAAUAUUGCACAAUGGAGGAAACUCUGAUGCAGCGACGCCGCGUGGAGGAAGAAGGUCUUCGGAUUGUAAACUCCUGUUGUCGGGGACGAUAAUGACGGUACCCGACAAGGAAGUGACGGCUAACUACGUGCCAGCAGCCGCGGUAAAACGUAGGUCACAAGCGUUGUCCGGAAUUACUGGGUGUAAAGGGAGCGCAGGCGGGAUGAUAAGUUGGAAGUGAAAUCUGUGGGCUCAACCCACAAAUUGCUUUCAAAACUAUUGUUCUUGAGUAGUGCAGAGGUAGGCGGAAUUCCCGGUGUAGCGGUGGAAUGCGUAGAUAUCGGGAGGAACACCAGUGGCGAAGGCGGCCUACUGGGCACCAACUGACGCUGAGGCUCGAAAGUAUAGGUAGCAAACAGGAUUAGAUACCCUGGUAGUC
rnacentral:rRNA from 1 species